CUAAUCUGCGAUAAGCGCCGGUAAGGUGAUAUGAACCGUUAUAACCGGCGAUACCCGAAUGGGGAAACCCAGUGUGACUCGUCACACUAUCAUUAACUGAAUCCAUAGGUUAAUGAGGCGAACCGGGGGAACUGAAACAUCUAAGUACCCCGAGGAAAAGAAAUCAACCGAGAUUCCCCCAGUAGCGGCGAGCGAACGGGGAGGAGCCCAGAGCCUGAAUCAGCAUGUGUGUUAGUGGAAGCGUCUGGAAAGGCGCGCGAUACAGGGUGACAGCCCCGUACACAAAAGCGCAUGUGCUGUGAGCUCGAUGAGUAGGGCGGGACACGUGGUAUCCUGUCUGAAUAUGGGGGGACCAUCCUCCAAGGCUAAAUACUCCUGACUGACCGAUAGUGAACCAGUACCGUGAGGGAAAGGCGAAAAGAACCCCGGCGAGGGGAGUGAAAAAGAACCUGAAACCGUGUACGUACAAGCAGUGGGAGCACCCUUUGGGUGUGACUGCGUACCUUUUGUAUAAUGGGUCAGCGACUUAUAUUCUGUAGCAAGGUUAACCGAAUAGGGGAGCCGGAGGGAAACCGAGUCUUAAUUGGGCGUUAAGUUGCAGGGUAUAGACCCGAAACCCGGUGAUCUAGCCAUGGGCAGGUUGAAGGUUGGGUAACACUAACUGGAGGACCGAACCGACUAAUGUUGAAAAAUUAGCGGAUGACCUGUGGCUGGGGGUGAAAGGCCAAUCAAACCGGGAGAUAGCUGGUUCUCCCCGAAAGCUAUUUAGGUAGCGCCUCGUGAAUUCAUCUCCGGGGGUAGAGCACUGUUUCGGCUAGGGGGCCAUCCCGGCUUACCAACCCGAUGCAAACUGCGAAUACCGGAGAAUGUUAUCACGGGAGACACACGGCGGGUGCUAACGUCCGUCGUGAAGAGGGAAACAACCCAGACCGCCAGCUAAGGUCCCAAAGUCAUGGUUAAGUGGGAAACGAUGUGGGAAGGCCCAGACAGCCAGGAUGUUGGCUUAGAAGCAGCCAUCAUUUAAAGAAAGCGUAAUAGCUCACUGGUCGAGUCGGCCUGCGCGGAAGAUGUAACGGGGCUAAACCAUGCACCGAAGCUGCGGCAGCGACACUGUGUGUUGUUGGGUA
rnacentral:rRNA from 1 species